rnacentral:rRNA from 1 species
AACGAACGCUGGCGGCAUGCCUAACACAUGCAAGUCGAACGAGACCGUCGGGUCUAGUGGCGCACGGGUGCGUAACGCGUGGGAACCUGCCCUUAGGUUCGGAAUAACUCCCCGAAAGGGGUGCUAAUACCGGAUAAUGUCUUCGGACCAAAGAUUUUUCGCCAUUGGAUGGGCCCGCGUUGGAUUAGCUAGUUGGUAGGGUAAAAGCCUACCAAGGCGACGAUCCAUAGCUGGUCUGAGAGGAUGACCAGCCACACUGGGACUGAGACACGGCCCAGACUCCUACGGGAGGCAGCAGUGGGGAAUAUUGGACAAUGGGCGAAAGCCUGAUCCAGCAAUGCCGGGUGAGUGAUGAAGGCCUUAGGGUUGUAAAGCUCUUUUACCCGGGAUGAUAAUGACAGUACCGGGAGAAUAAGCUCCGGCUAACUCCGUG